CGCUAGGAUGAACGCUAGCGACAGGCCUAACACAUGCAAGUCGAGGGGCAGCACAAGGAGCAAUCUGAGGUGGCGACCGGCGCACGGGUGAGUAACACGUAUGCAACCUGCCUGUAAGCGGGGAAUAACCCGUUGAAAGACGGACUAAUACCGCAUAAUACUAAAUUACUGCAUGGUAAUUUAUUUAAACAUUUAUGGCUUACAGAUGGGCAUGCGCAUGAUUAGCUAGUUGGAGAGGUAACGGCUCCCCAAGGCAACGAUCAUUAGGGGUUCUGAGAGGAAGGUCCCCCACACUGGUACUGAGACACGGACCAGACUCCUACGGGAGGCAGCAGUGAGGAAUAUUGGUCAAUGGACGAGAGUCUGAACCAGCCAAGUCGCGUGCAGGAAGAAUGUUCCCUAUGGAUUGUAAACUGCUUUUGCAGGGGAAUAAAGUGCAUCACGUGUGAUGUUUUGUAUGUACUCUGCGAAUAAGGAUCGGCUAACUCCGUGCCAGCCGCGGC
rnacentral:rRNA from 1 species